rnacentral:ncRNA from 1 species
GAAAGCCGGAUGCGGGAAAUCCGCACGUCCGGUUUGACGAGCGGGAUGUGGAGACGAAGUGAUGGCAAGGCUCAUUAGGCACCGCCAGACGAAAGAGGCGGAAACAGAUAGGCCAAGCCUUAGACCACCGCGCCACAUCUCGACUCUAC